GUAUGGGUUUGCCCCGCUUUCUUUGGAGUGCUUCAGUGUGUUGAUUUUCUUGUGUUCCUCUCGGGUGCAUUUCCACGCACGUCCACGAGAUGUCCCCUCAGCCUCCAAUCUGGGAUACCGCGGACUCUUAAGAGCGCCCGAACCGACGUGGAGUAGGUAGGGCCUUAUCGUAGAGCAGGGCGUGAUGGCGUCAUGAGUUGCCGGGCGGUUUCUUGCCCCCACUCGCUCAGUCUGCCCCCAGUUUAGGAUAGCGAUCGAGAUUCUCGAGGCUCGUAAUCAACCGCCGUCCAGUGCAUCCAGCGCGUGGGCAGAAGCUACGAAAGAGAUAUGUGAGCCCCGAACUGGAGAGUAGGAGGAACUCAAUGGGAUUCAGACUUCUUGUCAGAUUUUAGCUAGUGCCGAAAGGAGCAUGCCUUGACCAAUUCCUCCCUAACUGUCUCUGUGCUGCCUUGGGCUGUGGGAUGGAUAACAGAACUUUUGAAUCAUCACUGGAAUAAACUCAUUAGAGCCUCUUCUUCAUAACACCGUAUCUGUCACUCAGACACAUGAAGGAAGUGGCCAGACCUGCUCCGUCACCUGCCUGUGCAUCUCUGUCCCACCUGAGAGCUUCCACAGGCCCAGGUGCCUUCUUCCUCUUCGCCAUCUGUCUUGUGCUCAUCUCCUCUGAGAAGCCUUCCAUGACUAAUCCUACUCUUAGCUCCAACUCAUCCCUUGAAGAUUUAUACAAACUAGAUUUAGCAUUCUAGAAGAGGAAGAUAGUGAUGGCCCGGAGUGCAGAAAUGAGUAUUGUGACGGGGAGCAGAUAAGCUAGAUUCCAGGGACUUGGAGAUGUGUGGGCGUAUGGUAGCAGUAGACCUGGAAUGAGGAGAGAGAGACAAAAACUGAGAAGUACCGUAAUGUGCUAACUCGAAGUAUUGGAGACACCAGAGCCAUCUUCACCCAUCCAAAGGGCUGUGGUGUCCAAGAGAGAUGGGCUUGAACUUUAGUGUUUGCUUUCAAUGCCCCUCUGGGCUCACAUGACCCCUGUGCCUGCCACUAUCACCCGGGCUGCUAUCACUAGCCUGUCAGACCCCCAAAUGUGGAUACCAUGACGUCCUCAUCUUUGUAUCUGCAGUGCCUGGCAUGUCAUAGUAACUCAAUAAACGUUUGUCGAAUGCA